rnacentral:rRNA from 1 species
CGCCGGUUCUCGUUAGAUCACCGAAGUCAAGCAUCAUUGGGCGCGGUCAGUACUUGGGUGGGUGACCACCUAGGAACACUGCGUGCCGUU